rnacentral:rRNA from 1 species
GACGAACGCUGGCGGCGUGCCUAAUACAUGCAAGUAGAACGCUGAAGAGAGGAGCUUGCUCUUCUUGGAUGAGUUGCGAACGGGUGAGUAACGCGUAGGUAACCUGCCUUGUAGCGGGGGAUAACUAUUGGAAACGAUAGCUAAUACCGCAUAACAAUGGAUGACACAUGUCAUUUAUUUGAAAGGGGCACUUGCUCCACUACAAGAUGGACCUGCGUUGUAUUAGCUAGUAGGUGAGGUAAUGGCUCACCUAGGCGACGAUACAUAGCCGACCUGAGAGGGUUAUCGGCCACACUGGGACUGAGACACGGCCCAGACUCCUACGGGAGGCAGCAGUAGGGAAUCUUCGGCAAUGGGGGCAACCCUGACCGAGCAACGCCGCGGGAGUGAAGAAGGGUUUCGGAUCGUAAAGCUCUGUUGUAAGUCAAGAACGGGUGUGAGAGUGGAAAGUUCACACUGUGACGGUAGCUUACCAGAAAGGGACGGCUAACUACGUG